UUUGACCCUUUCUCUUUUAUUGAGUCGUCUUUCCUCUUUUGAGCUUGGGAAACUCGUAGAUUUCCCGCUGGCGCCUAUGGCACAGUGAAAUGAGACGAUCCAUGUCCCCAUCUGCUUCCUAAGGCGAAUCUUCCCAACAACAACAAUGGCGGAAGUCCAAGCUCUCCUUUGAAUCUCUCCAUUCCUGAUAUUUUGAAUGUUCCUCAGCAUCACCGAGUACCAUCGUCCUCAUCGCACACAGCCAAAAGCGAAGGAAGAAAAGGAUGGGUAUUUAUGGAGAGUUUGAAGAUGAAGAAAAACUAAGAUCAUUAGUGAAAGAAAAGGGGUGGUUGGAUGCUGAAAAGACGGGGCAGCAGCGUGAAAAUGCCCAUUCACUUGCCCUAUUCUUCCACAAUGCCUUGUAGAAAUUGAAGGAGACUACAUAACAAUAGGAAAAAGAAAAAAGCACUUAUUUUAAAUCUCAAAUGUUGGAACUUGUUUUACAAAUAUAGAAAAAUAUUACGAUCUAUAUAACCGAUAAAUAUAGAUUAUAGUCUACUUUGAUCUAUGAUACAUAAACAGUGACAUUUUACUAUAUUUUUUUCAUUUUA